rnacentral:tRNA from 1 species
GUAAAUAUAGUUUAAACAAAACAUUAGAUUGUGAAUCUGAUAACAGAGGAUUACAUCCUCUUAUUUACC